rnacentral:rRNA from 2 species
GAUUGCCCUAGUAACGGCGAGUGAAGCGGCAAUAGCUCAAAUUUGAAAGCUGGCUUAUGGCCCGCAUUGUAAUUUGUAGAGGAUGCUUUUAGGCAGCCGCCGGUCUAAGUUCCUUGGAACAGGACGUCAUAGAGGGUGAGAAUCCCGUAUGUGACCGGCUCUGGCACCUUAUGUAAAGCUCCUUCGACGAGUCGAGUUGUUUGGGAAUGCAGCUCUAAAUGGGAGGUAAAUUUCUUCUAAAGCUAAAUACUGGCGAGAGACCGAUAGCGCACAAGUAGAGUGAUCGAAAGAUGAAAAGCACUUUGGAAAGAGAGUUAAAAAGCACGUGAAAUUGUUGAAAGGGAAGCGCUUGCAAUCAGACUUGGACUUGACUGUUCAACAGGUCUUCUGACCUGCCUAUUCAGUCUUGUCCAGGCCAGCAUCAGUUUCGGCGGCCGGACAAAGGCCCCAGGAAUGUGGCUUUCCCUUCGGGGGAAGUGUUAUAGCCUAGGGUGUAAUACGGCCAGCCGGGACUGAGGUCCGCGCUUCGGCUAGGAUGCUGGCGUAAUGGUUGUAAGCGGCCCGUCUUGAAACACGGACCAAGGAGUCUAACAUCUAUGCGAGUGUUAGGGUGUCAAACCCUUACGCGUAAUGAAAGUGAACGGAGGUGAGAACCCGCAAGGGUGCAUCAUCGACCGAUCCUG